UUCAUUUUGAUUCCUCUCUCCAUUUUGAUUACGACCUCGUUCGAGCUUUCUCUCCGAGUCGACCAUUACCAAUCUCUCUCUCUCUCUCUCUCUCUCUCUCUCGAUCAUAGGUUUUAGUCUCCGUGUCUCGGAGCUUCCAUUACUCUAUUCGUCUUCCUCUCUGCGUUCAAAUUUCAGUGAGCGAACAAUGGCGGCUAUGGCGAACGACUUUCAGGAUCGCCGGAAUUUGAAAUUGCUUAAUGCUUCUCGAAGUUUGCCACCCCAACCUCUUCACCAUAAUCGACCCGUUCUUUCACUUCUCACCCGCGCACGACCUGAUCUGUUUUUCGAUCGACGACCGGUGCCGGAAUCUCAUCUUCAAUCCAGGUACGAACGUCUAGGUAUGGAUCAGUAUUUUAAAUGAGAUUACCUAAAUGCAUCUUGAUAUUGCUUGCUUCGAAUCGAUAAUUUGUUGUUUGUGUGAGCUUUGAAUACUCAGAACUCUAGUAUUUUGGGAAACUUCCCAAGUAGUUAGUAGAAUUUUCAACUGAGAUGGAGAAAUUCGAGGUUCAGGUUUUAAGAUCUGCAAUGGUAGUUAACUUUGAUUUUCAAAGAUUUGAGGAAGGAUUUGAAGAGAAUUAGCAGUUUUGUGUGCUUUGAUAUAUAGAUUUGGUUCUGUAACUUACUAAUUUAUGAUCUUAUGAUUAACUUAUUGUGAUGCUCUCCUCACUAAUAGCUUGUUGACUAGAAAAAGUAGACUGUAGAGGAUUCACAGGAGAGAUAUCAUCACUAAUAGUUUGAUUAGUGAAACAAUUCCUUUACCACCACCCUGCUGCACUUGAAAUUGAUGUCUGCUGGUGCAUAUUUCUGAAUGUUUCUUCUUUGGCUAUGUAAACUCACUUUGAAUAGCCUUCUGAGAAUUGCUUCAUGUUCCGAAUACAUCUUGAUGCAUUCGUUCGGUUGUGUUGUGUGAAUUUGAGAAAAAGUUGGAUUUGCUUAUUUUAUAUUCUGAAACAACCCAAUUUUCAAUUUUUGCUGAAUUGAGUUUUCCCUGCAUAAUGCAAGCAGCCAAGAAAAGCCUAAUUUGUUUUUUCAUGUCCUAUUGUUUCAUGAUUAUUUUGUUGUUGUUAUAUAAUGAACUCAGUUUUGCUAAUGACUUGAGCGUCUAUGUGAGUUGGUUUGUUUGGAUUAUUGAGUAGCUGAUGGACUUCAAAAUCUAUACUUUUCUUUCAUCAGGUAGCUAAAACUAGUGUCCUGACAUAUUGCUGUGUGUUUAGAGAAAAGAUGUUUUAUAGUAAUUCAUAGCAAUCUUUUCAAUUUCAAUGGUAUCCUUUAAUGACUCAUUAUGAUCAUUCAUCAAGGCUGCAAUUCAGUUUAUAUAAGACCUUGUUAUAAUAGUUGUAAAUUUAUAUUUAUAACCAUUUAACAUAAACUUAGAUGCCGAUAGAUGCCUUCCUGAUCCAAAAAAUCAGUAAAUUCUUUGUUAGGUGACAAUUCCAAUUUAGAAGAUAAGCGUUAGAAUCUUUACAGAGAGCCUUCUCAUUUCCUCCAAGUCUGGCAAGGAACUUCCUUUUCUUUUUUCUGAAGUUAUCCAAAAACAUUCCAAUUCCAUUUCUGCAGAGCUUAAUCAAAGCCAUUUAUUUAAUCAGCCAAUGCGUUAAUUGAAGCCACGGAUUUAGGUGGUGCAUGACCUUCCGAGUACCUCAGUUAGUGUCAAUAUUAUCACCAAAUUAAGUCUUCAUGUCACAUAGCUUUGAAUCUAUAAGGUCUCGGGAGGAUUAGGAUUAUGCUCAGAAGUCUAGCAGAUUUGAAUACGGCAGUGAUCUGACUUUGUUCUAAACAAAUGCUUCAUACUUUCGUAGGUUAUGGUUUAUAUUGAGCUACCAAUGUGUUUGCAGUCAUAGUUUCCUUUCACAGGUUUGUCUAAGCUUCUUACUUGAAACUCAGACCAGCACAAAAUCCCUUGAAACUUUCAAGUUUUCAUAAGCUAUUAGAAACUUGCUGCGAUUUGUGUUGGAUCCAGCUCACUGAGCUUUCUCUUUUCCUAUAAAUCAGGGACUGGUUUACUAAUGUGUUUAUGUGUGAUUUCUCUGGAGAUAUUGGGUUUUAACCAUGAAAAGUCAAAAGGAGACAUCCUACACCAGAUAGACCAGACAUAAUCUCUGGAAUAUGAAGAGAGAUCUUAAGAUGAUACUUCAACAGGUGAUAACAAUAGACCGUAAUGGUACGAACAACAGCGCAUAUCUCUACAAGUAAUCCUUAUUUUGAGUCAUUAGCAUGUUUUUGAAAAUUCGGCACCUGAUUCCUUUUGACUCAUUUGCACUUUGGAGAAAAAGAAAAAAAAAAAGCAAUCCAGUUCCAAAUACAUCAAUCAGCAUUGCAAUGAGUUGGCGCUUGGAUACUUUUAGACGGAAUUCUAUGAUGAGUAAGCAGGUAGAGAAAGCCUGGUUGAAUGGAUAGAGGAUCCAUCAUAUGGUAAUGCAAUGCAACAUUGUCUUGGAAUAUAAUUUAUGGUUCUUGGCCCAAAAAGGUUGAAAUUGGAAUUGCAACAUUGUCGGUUAAAAUGUGGGGGUACUCAGCAAGAGCGUGCUGCCAGGCUUUUUAUGCUUAAAUUCACCCCUGUAGAGAAGAUUCCAAAGAAGCUGCUGGCAAAGAAAUGAGUACGUGAUGUGCUAGGUUAACUCAUUGGUAGCAGAAGAAGAGUACUCCAAAGGCUCUGGCCAAUCAAACUGUGAAGUUUCUUGUUGAUCAUGAUUCCACGGUCUCCUUGUGUGAUAGUUGUACCCGAAUGGUUUUCUUCAGACUUGGUGACAUCUAGGCUCACUCAACACUUACUUCCAUUGUAUUUGAACAAUGAAAAGAUGUUUACUCAACCUAGCUGCAUAUGUGCCAGCCUCUUGUUGUAUUUCAUUUAUUCAAUAACAGAUGUAGCUCUGCUAUUUUUAAGA